rnacentral:lncRNA from 1 species
UCAAUUAUGCAUGCGUACAAUUGGAGGUAGCUGUAACCCAAAAACACAUUCACUCCAUAUAUAUCAUUAAUACAAAGCAAAUUCAUGAUCAAUUAAAUUACACCACACAACAAAGUCAAUUACGGCAUAUAUCAACCUCAAGUACACUUUAAUAAAAAGUCAAACAAGUCUUUUUAAGUACAUUCAAUAUCCAAACAUGGCAAAGUUCCGACUCACUCAUCCCAACCCUAGGGUUUUUAUCCAUAAUAGAGAUGGUAGAUCCCUGAAAUUCCUACCUUUAUUCACAAAAGUUCAGUUUUUUUUUCAAAUAUCCCAAUAAUAUCAUCCCAUUCACUAGAUCUAUCAAGUCAUGGCUUCAUCAUUAGUUUGUCCUUUCUUCUAAACGUAUGAGCUGACAAAUAGAUCAAAUUUACUAACUUUAACAUAUUAUUCAUGUUCUCACCCUUUCCUACUUGUUAUCAAUAAUGGUUAUAUCCACAACUUGUAAACAUCUUACGAUAAAUAUUUCUUUAGACUCAUAAACUGCAACGAUUCAUCAUAACAUCAUUGCCCUAAUAAUCACC